AGAAGUAAUCAUACUUAACAUGUUUUUAUUACUGUAUUGUAUACUUAAACUUGUUAGUGUAUAAAUGUAACAUACUGUGGGUGCUGGUAGGUGAAGGAUUAGUGGUUCUUCACCACAGGACUGUUCUGUGAUGGAGCAUCAGUAAUGAUGCAGGUCAGGAGUACUGAGGGGACCAUGGUGAGAAUGAAAACAAAAGCCUCAAUCCUCAACCUCAGCCGUAUAAAUCUUUUGGAGAUUUUUCCCUCUACUCCACAGCAUGAUGGAAGCCUGCUGGAGAGUGACUGAGCUUCUUUCUCCAACACAUCCACUGCAUUGGGGAGCUCCAUGAGGAUUGUCAUCUGUUUGCCGUGUUGCAGUUUUGCAUUUUCCACAGAUGCUGGCAAAUCGGAUUAAUUUGUGGACAAUGUAGCCUGCGAGAUGGAAGAGAAUACAUUUCUCUGUUUUUGUGAGGUCAGGUGCUGUUCUGUUCUCCACCAUCAGCUGUUCCACUCUGACUGAUGGAGUGACGUUUUGUUUCACUGUUUCCAGGAAGUCUGCCAAAAAACUACUGUCAUCUUCCUGGUAGCUCCCAGAGGUGAUGGCGCUGAAGAACUGACCUACGGAUA
rnacentral:lncRNA from 1 species